ACAUUUCUAGCUUGCUAGAAGAUGACGAGCGGCGGACAGGUGAGUAAUGCUUGGGAAUAUGCCUUAGGGUGGGGGACAACAGUUGGAAACGACUGCUAAUACCGCAUAACGUCUACGGACCAAAGGGGGCUUCGGCUCUCGCCCUUAGAUUAGCCCAAGUGGGAUUAGCUAGUUGGUGAGGUAAUGGCUCACCAAGGCGACGAUCCCUAGCUGGUUUGAGAGGAUGAUCAGCCACACUGGAACUGAGACACGGUCCAGACUCCUACGGGAGGCAGCAGUGGGGAAUAUUGCACAAUGGGCGCAAGCCUGAUGCAGCCAUGCCGCGUGUGUGAAGAAGGCCUUAGGGUUGUAAAGCACUUUCAGUAAGGAGGAAAGGUUAGUAGUUAAUACCUGCUAGCUGUGACGUUACUUACAGAAGAAGCACCGGCUAACUCCGUGCCAGCAGCCGCGGUAAUACGGAGGGUGCGAGCGUUAAUCGGAAUUACUGGGCGUAAAGCGUACGCGGGCGGUUUGUUAAGCGAGAUGUGAAAGCCCCGGGCUCAACCUGGGAACUGCAUUUCGAACUGGCAAA
rnacentral:rRNA from 1 species